AUAGCUUGCUGUGGCGUGAUGGAAUUAACGCUUUGAAAGGAAUUCUUGUUAGUUCUUGAUAUGUAUUGACCCAACUAUGUGUUAUGUGCCAUAUCUGUGACUGGAUCUCCCAUACCAUUUGCUAAUCAGUUCAAUCUGCUUUUCAAUUUAGCUUCUGAUGCGAAUGGAGCCUUGGCAGGUUUGCAAGGUCUAUUGAGCGGUCUUGAUUUGAACAGCUUACUGAGCGGUGUUACUGGUUUAGUUUAAAGAAUUGUGUAUUACGGACUGAACAUACCUACGCUCCUGGACCAGAUUGACAAUGACUUCUUGCUCCUGCGCACUCCACAUUGCCACUCCAAAGCCGAUCAAGUGAAACCAGAGAAUCACGAAUCAUACUAGUACACUUUAGAUAAUUUCUGUAACUGAUUUUGUUGUCUUUGUAAUAGAGGGCAGAGGGCACUAAAAACUGCCCCACUACCCCCCUGGAGGAUGGCAAUCGCUUUGCAAAAAUAAAAGAA